UGGGGAAUCUUGCGCAAUGCGCGAAAGCGUGACGCAGCAACGCCGCGUGGGGGAAGAAGGCCUUCGGGUUGUAAACCCCUUUCAGUUGGGACGAAGCUUCGUCGGUGAAUAGCCGGCUGGAGUGACGGUACCUUCACAAGAAGCCCCGGCUAACUACGUGCCAGCAGCCGCGGUAAUACGUAGGGGGCUAGCGUUGUCCGGAAUCAUUGGGCGUAAAGCGCGUGUAGGCGGUCCGGUAAGUCCGCUGUGAAAGUCGAGGGCUCAACCCUCGAAUGCCGGUGGAUACUGUCGGGCUAGAGUACGGAAGAGGCGAGUGGAAUUCCUGGUGUAGCGGUGAAAUGCGCAGAUAUCAGGAGGAACACCAAUUGCGAAGGCAGCUCGCUGGGACGUUACUGACGCUGAGACGCGAAAGCGUGGGGAGCAAACA
rnacentral:rRNA from 1 species